ACAACUAAAGAAGGGCUAGGGUUGAAUGAUUGAAUCUAGGAUUCGGAAAGGAAGCAUCGAGAGUCCAAAAGACUUCUCUAGCAAACUCAACAAUCUUGUUGUGAACUCUAUAAUCUUCCAAUAUUUUUCAAAAAUCUCCCACACGUUUUCCCGCCACCCAACUGAUUAUUAAGCUUCUUCAACAAUCAACUUUCCUUUCGGUUAACAACACAAUAAAAUUGACGAAAUGAGAAGUUGAAAAAUGGGAAUCCAUGGCUACUCAAAGAAAUAGCAGCUCUAAAUCCAUGAACAACAAUAAGAGGCAACCAUUAUCCGACAUCUCCAAUUUCAAUCUCAUACCCACUUCUACUCUCCGCAAGCUUGUCUCCUCCUCCUCCGCUUCUUCUUCCAAACCUCAAAAUGUUUUCCAAAAACCCCCAAUUUCUGUUUCAAAUUCUGAUUCCAAUAUCUCAAAACCCAACAACAACUCGCCUAAUAACAAUUCCACGGAGGAAAACUCUGGAAUCAGCGUCGCAUCUUCCAAUUUCAACUCUGCUCGAAACCCUAACCCCCUCGAUAUUUCUACUGUUCGUCGUGUUGCUCGUGUGCCUGACUAUUCAUUAACCACUCCUGCAGGCAGGGAUAAUGAAGCUGUAGUUUAUAAUCGAAGGCAGGCUACGAAGAAGUCUAAUUUGGAAGCUACUAAUCCGACCUUCACUUCCAGUCUUCAUGAAAACAAAAGAGAUAAAAGGAAAGAGAUUGAUGAGCCUUUCCUUUCCCUGCCUCCUACAAUCUCAAAGGAUAAAGGGAAGGCAAUUGUUGAGUCAUUCAGUAGCUUGUCUCCUGAGACUAAGGAAGAUAAGGGGAAAGGAGUUGUUGUUCUAUCUACCCCAGUUUCAGGAAAUAAGAAAAACAAGGGAAUAGUUAUUCAUGAGCCUUUUGUGUCUUCAUCUCCUCAGAGGGUAAAUGACAAAGCUAAGACAAUUUCUCAUGAGCACUUUCCUACAGAUGAAAAAACAGCAGAAGAAAAAGUUGGUGUUUUGACUCGGAGUUCCGCAUCUUUAAAGAAAACAAAGGGAAAAGGGAUGGAAGACGCAUCAGUUUUUAGUUGUCCUACUUUUCCAAAGACAAGAACCCAUAGGAGUAAAUUCAACGGAGCUGGUGAUAUUAAACCCUCAGGUUCAUGGACGGAACCUAAUGGAAAGCGUAAGAAGAGGCGGAAACCUGUCCUUGAAAAUUCCUUGCCAGAAGAUUUUGUCAACUACUGGCGAAAGCAUUUUCAAGAGGUUGAUGAGUUUGAAUUGCCAGAAGAGGAAGCAUCGUACAGUGAUUUGGACUAGAAAGGAAAGGAAUAGUGUUUGACAAGAAGCAGAUCUAGUCUGACCAGUUGACCCUCCCUGUAUAGUAAUGCCCAUAUACUUCAUAAACGUGUUGAUGUACCAGACUUACAUAGUUAUCAAUGAUCAGGUAACACGUUCGCGACAAACAGACAUAUUCACAUUUCGAAAGCCAUAAAAUUUGGUGAAUUUCUCGAUCAAAAUGGAGGUCGUUAUAGGAGGUUCUGUAGCUUUGUACUUUUCUUUGGCAUGAGAAUACCUAUUUAUUGCCUGAGCAAGGGAAUUCAUUUGCCAGAAGGACAAGGCAAAACCCUUUAGAAUGCAUUCAACAGAGACGCACAAACAUGAGCGUGAAUGGAUGCACAUAUAAUUGGUUAAAAUGUUGAUUUUGUUAACUUCACAUCAUGGGUGCAAUUUCCACUUUCCAUGUGUUAAUGUACAUCAGUACAUCUUUGGUUUGAAUCUGGUAUCGGGGUCUUCCUGAAUUAAUGAAAAUUGGCUUGAUAAUUUUGUGAAACUAAGAACAAGUAUUUCUUAAGUUAAAUUCUUAACCUUGUAACUGUAACAUAGUAUCUAACCAAUCAGGGUAGAACAUGGGAGUAGGAAGGGCUUGGAGGACUGCAUCCUUGAAAUGGCUUAUAGGCUUAUGCAGGGAUGGAGAUAGAAGCCUGUAUGCAGGUUUGGUCGAUCCCAAUAGAUUUUGUAUAAACUGCGUAUUUUUCAUUAAAUAUGUACACAUAUUAAAUUUAGAACCUAAUUACUAAUACUUGAAAUCGUCAUUCUAACAUCAAGAACCCAUAAAGUUCAAAUCUUGGCUUUGCAUCUGGGCUUAUGGUGUUGCUAUUAAUAAUUUGUGUUGCUUGUAUUAGUUUGUUAUAAAUAUCCAUAGUUGGAGGAACUGUUUAAGUAAACAAAGAUUUUGGAACUACAGAUGUAUAGUACAGUAUGUUGAUUAGAAGAUGAACUGUUAAGUUCUAAAUUCAAGUCUUUUGUGGGCUUCUCCUUGUCUAUGCAAGCAUGCUGCCUUCAUUAAAUGAAGGUACAUGCUGAAAGGUGAAUGUGAUGUCAAUAAAGAAUGAUGUUUGUCAAUGUGGUGGUGUGAUACUUUUAAAUUUUUUUCAUCGCUUUCUAUUGUGUGUAUAAAAUAGAAGACAUGCUCUGCGCUGUUGAUGGUUCUCAAGCAUGUCAUAUUCAAAGCUUCAAAGGCUUUAUAUUAUCACUAUGAAAUCAUCAAUCUUUAUUUAGUUGUUUACUUUUGAUAAAUAUUGACAUAGAAGGAUAUAUAGAAACUUGUGACAAUAUUGAACCUUGUGCACUCUUAUCAAGUUUGGUGGCUUAUAAUUUGAUUACUAUCUUGGAAUCAUUCUAAAGACAAAGGUAUUUGGUUUUGUGCUUUCUAUAGAGUAUCGUAUUGUCUAAUACCACUUGAGGUUAUUAACUAGCUUGUGUUCUUCUCCUGGUUUACCAUCCUUAGCUUGUUCUUUGGCAGCAUGGAACUUAUACAUAUAGUUGACAUAUGCUUGCAGUAUGUUGAAGUUUCCAUUGGAACAUAAUAGAUUGCAGUAUUAGUGUCUGACUCAGCAAUUAAAAG